UUGACCUAGGGACGCAGCAGUGGGGAAUAUUGCACAAUGGGGGGAACCCUGAUGCAGCGACGCCGCGUGAGUGAAGAAGUAUUUCGGUAUGUAAAGCUCUAUCAGCAGGGAAGAAAAUGACGGUACCUGACUAAGAAGCCCCGGCUAACUACGUGCCAGCAGCCGCGGUAAUACGUAGGGGGCAAGCGUUAUCCGGAUUUACUGGGUGUAAAGGGAGCGCAGACGGCUGUGCAAGUCUGGAGUGAAAGGCGGGGGCCCAACCCCCGGACUGCUCUGGAAACUGUAAAGAUGG
rnacentral:rRNA from 1 species